rnacentral:rRNA from 1 species
UUGAACGCUGGCGGCAGGCCUAACACCUGCAAGUCGAACGGUAACAGGAAGAAGCUUGCUUCUUUGCUGACGAGUGGCGGACGGGUGAGUAAUGUCUGGGAAACUGCCUGAUGGAGGGGGAUAACUACUGGAAACGGUAGCUAAUACCGCAUAACGUCGCAAGACCAAAGAGGGGGACCUUCGGGCCUCUUGCCAUCGGAUGUGCCCAGAUGGGAUUAGCUAGUAGGUGGGGUAACGGCUCACCUAGGCGACGAUCCCUAGCUGGUCUGAGAGGAUGACCAGCCACACUGGAACUGAGACACGGUCCAGACUCCUACGGGAGGCAGCAGUGGGGAAUAUUGCACAAUGGGCGCAAGCCUGAUGCAGCCAUGCCGCGUGUAUGGAGAAGGCCUUCGGGUUGUAAAGUACUUUCAGCGGGGAGGAAGGGAGUAAAGUUAAUACCUUUGCUCAUUGACGUUACCCGCAGAAGAAGCACCGGCUAACUCCGUG